rnacentral:rRNA from 1 species
GAUGAACGCUAGCUACAGGCUUAACACAUGCAAGUCGAGGGGAAACGAUAUUGGAAGCUUGCUUCUGAUAGGCGUCGACCGGCGCACGGGUGAGUAACGCGUAUCCAACCUGCCCAUCACUUGGGGAUAACCUUGCGAAAGUAAGACUAAUACCCAAUGACGUCUCUAGAAGACAUCUGAAAGAGAUUAAAGAUUUAUCGGUGAUGGAUGGGGAUGCGUCUGAUUAGCUUGUUGGCGGGGUAACGGCCCACCAAGGCGACGAUCAGUAGGGGUUCUGAGAGGAAGGUCCCCCACAUUGGAACUGAGACACGGUCCAAACUCCUACGGGAGGCAGCAGUGAGGAAUAUUGGUCAAUGGACGAGAGUCUGAACCAGCCAAGUAGCGUGCAGGAUGACGGCCCUAUGGGUUGUAAACUGCUUUUUAUAAGGGAAUAAAGUGGGAGUCGUGACUCUUUUUGCAUGUACCUUAUGAAUAAGGACCGGCUAAUUCCGUGCCAG